UCAUCUACAAAACUACCUACGUUAAGACUGUAAGACAGGGUCUGGUCUGGAAGGUAAACUUACCUACAAGUUGACUCAACUUACGUACAAGUUGACCUUCCAAACCCUGUAAUGUCUAGAAGUAAAAGGCUUCUUACUGAUGGGUAUUGUACCAAAUCUUCAGAUGAAGAGUUCAUCGUCUACUGGUAGACAUGCUGCCUGACUUUGCCUUGGCAUCUCUAGAUGGCAGUGUUGUAACCACGACAGAUACACAAGACCAGUUCAGCUUCUUCCUGGGGUUCCCCUGUGAUAACAUGCAGCCUGGACUGUCAACCAGGUGGGUCUGCGUCAUCCAACUCAUUAUCUCUGUCUAACACUUUGACAACCCGAUUUUCCUCCCAUAGGGCCAUCCAGCACUGCCUGGUAAAUGGACAUAUCAUCAGUGCCUCAAGAGUUUGCCAUCUAUUAAUGUCUAGAAGGAAAAGGCUUCCUGCUGAUGGGUAUUGUACCAAAUCUUCAGAUGAAGAGUUCAUCGUCUACUGGUAGACAUGCUGCCUGACUUUGCCUUGGCGUCUCUAUAUGGCAGUGUUGUAACCACGACAGAUACACAAGACCAGUUCAGCUUCUUCCUGGGGUUCCCCUGUGAUAACAUGCAGCCUGGACUGUCAACCAGGUGGGUCUGCGUCAUCCAACUCAUUAUCUCUGUCUAACACUUUGACAACCCGAUUUUCCUCCCAUAGGGCCAUCCAGCACUGCCUGGUAAAUGGACAUAUCAUCAGUGCCUCAAGAGUUUGCCAUCUAUGUGCGUUGCCUCUGACACCUUAAAUCUACAAUGCAACGUUUUACACUAUCAACUUUAUGACUGGGACUGGUCUGGAAGGUCAACUUACGUACAAGUUGACCUUCCAGACCCUGGUAAGUCGAUGACCACCCUGAUCUUGUGUUUUCUUCUGCACAUAAUCUCUAAUAGCUCAAUUAGGUAUUUUCAGUUAAUUGAUGGGAAGGGAAAAUUUAUAACAUACGCUGCAAAGACCCAAUUGUCGCAGUGUGACACAUUUUGUUCUCUGAGUAUUAUUUACAUGAACUAAAAUUGGUAUAGCUUCAGCCUGACAUUGGAAUUCCACCCAUCCCCGUUUCUCUUUCAGUAAUGUCUAGAAGGAAAAGGCUUCCUGCUGAUGGGUAUUGUACCAAAUCUUCAGAUGAAGAGUUCAUCGUCUACUGGUAGACAUGCUGCCUGACUUUGCCUUGGCGUCUCUAUAUGGCAGUGUUGUAACCACGACAGAUACACAAGACCAGUUCAGCUUCUUCCUGGGGUUCCCCUGUGAUAACAUGCAGCCUGGACUGUCAACCAGUAAUGUCUAGAAGUAAAAGGCUUCUUGCUGAUGGGUAUUGUACCAAAUCUUCAGAUGAAGAGUUCAUCGUCUACUGGUAGACAUGCUGCCUGACUUUGCCUUGGCGUCUCUAUAUGGCAGUGUUGUAACCACGACAGAUACACAAGACCAGUUCAGCUUCUUCCUGGGGUUCCCCUGUGAUAACAUGCAGCCUGGACUGUCAACCAGGUGGGUCUGCGUCAUCCAACUCAUUAUCUCUGUCUAACACUUUGACAACCCGAUUUUCCUCCCAUAGGGCCAUCCAGCACUGCCUGGUAAAUGGACAUAUCAUCAGUGCCUCAAGAGUUUGCCAUCUAUUAAUGUCUAGAAGGAAAAGGCUUCCUGCUGAUGGGUAUUGUACCAAAUCUUCAGAUGAAGAGUUCAUCGUCUACUGGUAGACAUGCUGCCUGACUUUGCCUUGGCGUCUCUAUAUGGCAGUGUUGUAACCACGACAGAUACACAAGACCAGUUCAGCUUCUUCCUGGGGUUCCCCUGUGAUAACAUGCAGCCUGGACUGUCAACCAGGUGGGUCUGCGUCAUCCAACUCAUUAUCUCUGUCUAACACUUUGACAACCCGAUUUUCCUCCCAUAGGGCCAUCCAGCACUGCCUGGUAAAUGGACAUAUCAUCAGUGCCUCAAGAGUUUGCCAUCUAUGUGCGUUGCCUCUGACACCUUAAAUCUACAAUGCAACGUUUUACACUAUCAACUUUAUGACUGGGACUGGUCUGGAAGGUCAACUUACGUACAAGUUGACCUUCCAGACCCUGUAAUGUCUAGAAGGAAAAGGCUUCCUGCUGAUGGGUAUUGUACCAAAUCUUCAGAUGAAGAGUUCAUCGUCUACUGGUAGACAUGCUGCCUGACUUUGCCUUGGCGUCUCUAUAUGGCAGUGUUGUAACCACGACAGAUACACAAGACCAGUUCAGCUUCUUCCUGGGGUUCCCCUGUGAUAACAUGCAGCCUGGACUGUCAACCAGAAUCCCACUGCAGUGUAUUCUUAUGCUGAUCUCCGUGUCCUCUUCAAACGGGGUCGUCCGUAUUACACCUGUUGAUACCACUUCCGCGUUCAUGGCAAGACUUCUUCCAAUGGGGUGCCGGCUAUCCACCUCAACCUGUCUGUGUUUGUAUAUAUGUACACUUGUGAGCACCAUGACCACUCAGCAAAAAAAAAAAAACUGGGAUAUUUUGGCGGUCCUGUUCUGCAAUUUGUUAAUGUUAAUGUGUGUAGACCAAAAUAUCUUAAUUCUUUGUAUGUAAUUUAGAUGAAAUUUGAAUUUUUUUUGUAUGUCUCUUGGCGUAAGAUUAUUCUUAAAAAUGAUUACCCGGCACAGCCAGAAGAGGACUGGCCCCUCAGAGUCUGGUUCCUCUCUAGGUUUCUUCCAAGGUUUUUGACCCUACUUGGGAGUUUUUCCUAGCCACUGUGCAUCAAUUUAUUGUUGUUGCUUGCUCUUUGGGGUUUCUAUGCUGUGUAUCUGUGCAUUUUGUUAUAACAGACAUUAUAAAAAUUGCUUUAUAAAAUAAAGUUUGUUCCUUGCUUGCAUCA